GUUUUAUUUAGCUCACGUGUAGGAGGCUUAAAAUAUAAGAUCAGCCAGCUCCAUCUGCCCAUCCUCUACUCAAGGCUCCCUCGAUCCUGUCACAACAUGGCAGGGACUCAGAAAGAAAUACCCACAUGCAGAAGAGAUGGCCUCUCUUCAUAAAAAUGCACUCUGAAGAGCAGUGACCACCCCCAACCAGGAGACAACAGUAAUCUGUUCAGAGGUAGUGUCCACAAUGAUCUGAUUUCCUCACAAUGGGCCUUAUCUCUUCCUUAAAGCUCCCUCCACUUCAGCACUGCCACUCAGAGAAACGAGUCUCCAGUAUAUGAACCUUGGGGCCCACAAGUGAGAAAGAAUCUGUCCUAUGCUGAAAGAAAGGAGAAGUUUACUGAGGACACAUUUAGGAUCACAUCUAGGAAGAAGGGGACAAUUGUGAAGAGGUCUUCCCACUGGCUGCACUGGCCCUAGGCUGCGACUCUGCAACUCUGAAGCCUUCUGGAUUUUGUUACCUGUUAGGCAGAUAGUGACCAACUCCAGGUCAUCUCCAGGCAGAUGCUGAAUACAUAACAGUAUGUGUACUACUGUUGUUCCCGGGAACACCAUGUUAGCCGAUACUGGUGCUAUUCAGACUCUUCGAGCUACAGCUGAUGUUUGGCUUGGGAUCUCCGCAUCUGUUUUCAACCGCUGUUGGAUGAAGCCCCUCAGAAGACAGUUUUGCUAGGCUCCUGAAGAUUUAAAGCCUUCGCUGCUCUGUAGCCAAAAGGUGGAUGCUGCAAUGCGUCAUGGGAAGAUGGCUUAUGGUUCAGAUGAAUUCACCAUAAUUCUGCAGAAACCUUACUCUUUAAUCCUCUAAUGACAAUGUCGCUAAACAGAAGCCACUGCUACCAUCAUUAAUACAUCCACACAUGACCAAGCUAAGAAAUUCCAUUUGGAAACUUUGCAUCAGAAAAUGUCAGUUCCACUGAAUUUGAAGGAAUUUCUGAUAAGAUUUCCUUGCAAAGGGACCAUCUCUUAAUGGGAUUAGAGGGUCACAGUGGUCCCCCGAGACAGUGUGUUGGAAAACCAUUUUGGAAGAAAACACAACUGGGAGAGAAUGGUAAACAUGGCUGCUAAGAGACAACUUCCGACAUUGCCAUCGAUGCAGGGUGGCUCUAUUUCUGCCUUGACUGCCGAGGGAGUGGGCUGGUAUUUUGAGCACCCUGAUGAAGAAUUAGAGAGAAGUGUUAUUGGAGUGCACAAUGUUGACUUUGUCAUGUGCCCAGGCAUAGGGCAAUCAGACCACAGGGGAAUGGGGAGAGUGAUGGCUACACCCCACUUGCUGUGAGCAUCGACACUCCUAUUGACUCCUGUUGACAUGGUGGGGCUGCAGAGUCAAGUACCCUAACAAGAACAUGUGCUCCAAGCAACUACAUUUGCAAAGACUCAGAACUCUGGCUCAGGCUGACUCAGGACCUAUGAGAAACAUGGGCCUCUGAAGAGGUGGAGAGACAGUUGGAUUAGAAAUAGCUCAGAUAUUGCCCAGACAGGUGGGCACUCUUGAGACUGCAAGGGAAAAAAAGAAAUAAAUAGCUCAGAUACAUGAAGCCAAAACAUUCCUGCUAAGUAGAAUUACUACAGCUAGGGUAGGAGCUGUGACCUUCCCAAGAGGUCACGAGAAUAUCCUGAAUUCUUUUCCUGGCCUUAAUUGUGUUGUCUUUGUUCAUUUUGAAGUCUCUGUUUAAACAGAGAUAUAAGUAGUGUCACGCAAUAAUAAAUUUCUUCAGCAGGC
ensembl:lncRNA